rnacentral:snRNA from 1 species
UAGUAUUACAGCUCUUACAGAUUUAGUCUAGCAGGUUUUUAAGUUGUUACUGAAAAGCCGGC